rnacentral:lncRNA from 1 species
AAGCUUCGAUUCCAAAUGCAGAGGUGAUGGCGAGGAUGGUGAAGCCUAGACGGUGCAGGGUGCGAAAGUGACGAGUUCGGCGAAAGCUUAUUCAAGAAUGGAUAAAUGCAUUGAGCUACUUGAACUCAAUUAUUUAUCUUCAACUACACGCGCAAACUCCAUCGUUUUCGGCGUUUCACAAGUGGUGUCAUGAUGCGUCGCAUCUCUUCUUUCAAAGCACGAACCAAGAUGCGGGAAAAGGAAGGCCAAGCCUUCUAAAAUAACAACAAUACAUCUCGUUUAUGCAGCAUCAAGAAGAAGCAGAAGCAAAGCUGGAACAAGCAAACUAACCGUGGCAGAACUUUUGGUUUGAUCAGGUAUUGGAUCUUCCUUCUGCUUCAACCUUUUCUUCUUCUGCUUCAAAAAUUUCUUCUAAAUUGAUUCUUCUGAUACGGAAUGAACUUUUCAAAUGCCGUAUUUGAAGCAGUAUUAGUUAGCUUCAAACUUCAAUGGUGAAUGAUGAAUGGAGAUUGGAAUCCCUUAGGUGCAGAACAUCAGACAUUGCAAGUGAAAGAGAAAAUAUGUAGAAGGGGAGUUUUUUUGCAGAAUCUUGAGUGAACCGUGAUGAAGCUGGAUCUAGAAUAAAGAUUGAGAGAAAAAUGAUUCUGCCCCUAUGAAUGGUGAUGAGGUUGGGUUUUUAUAGAGCUUAAUUCGGUUAUAAAAUGUAGCUCAAAUGAAAUCCAAAUCCAAGGUUAGUUACAAAUGAAAUAGUUAGUUUGGAAAUUCAGAUUGAAACUCAAAUGAAAUGUUAUUUUGUGAACUGAAAAUACUGCUAUGCCCUUUUUGUGAAAAAACCAAUAGCUGGCUUUGUUAUACUGGUUCUGUUAUCAUUGUUUUGUUUUUAUCCAUUUAGAAUUCUGUUAUAGGUUAGUGCUGAGGAAUUCUGUUAUGAGUUAACUUGAACUAAAUGGUUAUUGGAUACGGUUAACGCAGUUAGCAUUGUGAACUGUUGAAUAGCUAAUUAAAUUCGGAUGAAGCUGGUUAAAUGAUUUUCUACUGGAUUACUGAAUGGCUGUUAGAUUUGUAUGUUAAGGUUAAAUUGAAAGGUGAAGUUUCUGUUGAAAGUAACAUGUGACCCCUUGCUUAUGAGCUUUGACAUCCUGUGAGUUCGUUCGUCCAACAUCUUAUGGAUCUGUGAGCUUCGAAACAAAUUGAUACACAUUAUGAAUUUAUUCGGAAUUCAUUUCUUUGCAGGUAUGGCAUAACCGAUUUGUACUGCAUCUUGAUAUUUAUGCCUACAAAAGCACACUCCUCCCGCCCUUCAAGUCGGUAUUUGCUUGCAAUCAAAUGGUUUGGUGGAUUCAUGUUGGCUGGAUGUUUGUGUUCUGCUGUCCUAGGUUCAGUUUGUGAAUGAAGCUUAGCUGUGAUGAUUUUUGACUUUGUAAUGCAGGUUUGGACAUCAUGGUGUUCAUUGCCAUUCUGACUUUGGUUCAACCUCUUUUUGCUUAGCUUGUUAUGAGUUCUUUUUGUGGCUUGUAGCAUGGUUUGCUUCCUUGUAGUAUGACUCACAUAAGUUCUGAUUUAGGUGAUUGUAAAAUGGCCUUGCUAUGUUUCUAUUCCCAUUCAUGUUUCAUGUUCAUGUAGGUCAUGAUUGGAUGGUUAAACAAACAUGACAUCAAAAUAGGGAUUUGAAGUAUCCAUCUACAAAUGGAAAUCCAAAGAAUCAAGAUGGAAUUUGAAGAUAAUGGUUAGAUUUAGGGUGGAGGCUUAGGAUGAAAAAGAUUUGGUUGACUUUGGUCAAAGUUGACCAAAAAGUAAACGGUUGACCAAAGUCAACCAUUGGUCAUCAUUUUUUUUUUGUAUUUUCUCAUGUAAUGAACAAAUUAUGAAUUGUAAUGAGUGGAAUUGAUAUGAAUGAAAUUGGAUUGACUUUGAAAUGAAUCUUAUACUUGUAUAAUCUUGAAUUUCAUAUUUGACCGUGAAUUUGAACUUG